AGGAAUAUUGGUCAAUGGACGAGAGUCUGAACCAGCCAAGUAGCGUGAAGGAUGAAGGUUCUAUGGAUUGUAAACUUCUUUUAUACGGGAAUAAACGGAUCCACGUGUGGAUUUUUGCAUGUACCGUAUGAAUAAGGAUCGGCUAACUCCGUGCCAGCAGCCGCGGUAAUACGGAGGAUCCGAGCGUUAUCCGGAUUUAUUGGGUUUAAAGGGAGCGUAGAUGGGUUGUUAAGUCAGUUGUGAAAGUUUGCGGCUCAACCGUAAAAUUGCAAUUGAUACUGGCAGUCUUGAGUACAGUUGAGGUAGGCGGAAUUCGUGGUGUAGCGGUGAAAUGCUUAGAUAUCACGAAGAACUCCGAUUGCGAAGGCAGCUUACUAACCUGUAACUGACAUUGAUGCUCGAAAGUGUGGGUAUCAAACAGGAUUAGAUACCCUGGUAGUCCACACGGUAAACGAUGAAUACUCGCUGUAGGCGAUAUACAGUCUGCGGCCAAGCGAAAGCAUUAAGUAUUCCACCUGGGGAGUACGCCGGCAACGGUGAAACUCAAAGGAAUUGACGGGGGCCCGCACAAGCGGAGGAACAUGUGGUUUAAUUCGAUGAUACGCGAGGAACCUUACCCGGGCUUAAAUUGCAACCGAAUAUGGCGGAAACGCUAUAGCUAGCAAUAGCGGUUGUGAAGGUGCUGCAUGGUUGUCGUCAGCUCGUGCCGUGAGGUGUCGGCUUAAGUGCCAUAACGAGCGCAACCCUUGCCGAUAGUUACUAACAGGUUAUGCUGAGGACUCUGUCGGGACUGCCAUCGUAAGAUGUGAGGAAGGUGGGGAUGACGUCAAAUCAGCACGGCCCUUACGUCCGGGGCUACACACGUGUUACAAUGGGGGGUACAGAGGGCUGCUACCACGCAAGUGGAUGCCAAUCCCAAAAACCUCUCUCAGUUCGGAUUGAAGUCUGCAACCCGACUUCAUGAAGCUGGAUUCGCUAGUAAUCGCGCAUCAGCCACGGCGCGGUGAAUACGUUCCCG
rnacentral:rRNA from 1 species